UACGUAGGAUGCAAGCGUUGUUCGGAAUUACUGGGCGUAAAGAGUACGUAGGCGGCAAUGAAAGUCUGAUAUUAAAGACUGGGGCUUAACCUCAGGAGUGUAUCGGAAACUUCAUAGCUAGAGGACAGUAGAGGAAGUCGGAAUUCCCAGUGUAGCGGUGAAAUGCGUAGAUAUUGGGAGGAACACCAGUGGCGAAAGCGGACUUCUGGGCUGUUACUGACGCUGAGGUACGAAAGUGUGGGGAGCAAACAGG
rnacentral:rRNA from 1 species